CAUGGUUAAAAUCAUAUCCCUGAGGCGGUCUUAAAUACCAUCAUCCCUCAGGCGUGAAGAUGGAUUCUCUGACUCACCAUGCCACGUGCGCUUUAAUGAUUAGUCUUAACCGUUUGCCUUCGAAUCCUCUGCAUCUUCACCUUUUUUACUGUGUUGAAAACAGGCAAUGCUCUGCAGUCAUUCUCAGAAAGGGUGAGAAAAACGAAUCAGAAGUUUGCAGUAUCCAUUUAUAGCAGAUUAAAGAACCCACCAGCCAAUCAAAUUGUUUGAUCUGAACCGACAUAGUAACCACUGAGUUAUUUAAUCUGAAUUGUUGGAAAAAAAAAAUCAAUUUUAUCUGUUCGGUGUGUUUCUAUAAUCUGCUGGUUUUGACCCGGGGGAUACGGAGAAAUUGGGAUUCUAUAUACUUUCUGUCUAGAUUCAGAAGAAUGCUCUUUCGCUUCCUGGUCACUCCAAGGAUGCAGUUUGACCUCUGGAAGAACACAAGAGUUCGAGCGUAAUCUGCAAGGGUGUAGCAAAUCAGGAACAAAAGGAUUUAUUCCAGUUGCAUCUUGAUAUGGAGAUGAAUGUGUCUUUUGGAGCUGGAAAUGGAAAUCAAACGGACGGGAAGGUCUGGCAAGAUUUUCAAAAAAGUUUCUCUCAGGUACAGAAUAUUCUAGAUAAGAAUCGUUUACUGAUUAAUGAGAUCAAUCAGAACCAAGAGUCCAAGGUCCCAGAUAAUCUAACCCGAAAUGUGGGCAUGAUACGAGAACUUAACAACAAUAUCGGAAGAGUAGUUGACCUUUAUGCUGGUCUCUCUAGCACAUUUGUAAAGGACAUUGAAACAUCAUCAGAAGGAGAUUCAGCUGGGACUUCAAGUUCUGAUAGGAAUGCUGGAGUUGCUUCUGGACAGAAGAGAAAUCGUCCUACUUAGGAUGAUAGAGUUCUCUUGCUUUUAUUAGGCAGUUUCUCUGAUUUCCUUCAGCACAUUUGUCUAGACCGAUCUCUUUGAAACUUCCCAACAUGAAACCCAUUUUAUAGUGGAGGAAGUUUGUGAGUGCUUACAGAAGUAUCUGAUACAAGGUGUUGAAGGAGAUAAUUUGUAUCUUAAGGUGAUACAUGCAGAAAAUUAACUUAAAGUUAUUUGCUGUGUGUGUGAGUGGAUUGUUAUAUCCCUUUCCAGGGGUUCGUUGAUACACUUAAUUUGUUUUCUGAACUUCUUGUGAUUUUUAUGAAUAGAAACAGGAAUGUUUCAGGAUAAAUUUUCUCAAGUUUCAUCAA